rnacentral:tRNA from 1 species
AGGCGUUUAGCUCAGUCCGGUUAGAGCACUGGUCUCCAAAACCAGGUGUCGGGGGUUCGAAUCCCUCAUCGCCUG